rnacentral:rRNA from 2 species
GAUGCUACGCUUCCAGGAAAAGCCUCUAAGCUCCAGGUAACAUCAAAUCGUACCCCAAACCGACACAGGUGGUCAGGUAGAGAAUACUCAGGCGCUUGAGAGAACUCGGGUGAAGGAACUAGGCAAAAUGGUGCCGUAACUUCGGGAGAAGGCACGCUGAUGGUAGGUGAAGUGACUUGCUCAUGGAGCUGAAAUCAGUCGAAGAUACCAGCUGGCUGCAACUGUUUAAUAAAAACACAGCACUGUGCAAACACGAAAGUGGACGUAUACGGUGUGACGCCUGCCCGGUGCCGGAAGGUUAAUUGAUGGGGUCAGCCGCAAGGCGAAGCUCUUGAUCGAAGCCCCGGUAAACGGCGGCCGUAACUAUAACGGUCCUAAGGUAGCGAAAUUCCUUGUCGGGUAAGUUCCGACCUGCACGAAUGGCGUAAUGAUGGCCAGGCUGUCUCCACCCGAGACUCAGUGAAAUUGAACUCGCUGUGAAGAUGCAGUGUACCCGCGGCAAGACGGAAAGACCCCGUGAACCUUUACUAUAGCUUGACACUGAACCUUGAGCCUUGAUGUGUAGGAUAGGUGGGAGGCUUUGAAGCGUGGACGCCAGUCUGCGUGGAGCCAACCUUGAAAUACCACCCUUUAAUGUUUGAUGUUCUAACGUGGACCCGUAAUCCGGGUUGCGGACAGUGUCUGGUGGGUAGUUUGACUGGGGCGGUCUCCUCCCAAAGCGUAACGGAGGAGCACGAAGGUUAGCUAAUCCUGGUCGGACAUCAGGAGGUUAGUGCAAAGGCAUAAGCUAGCUUGACUGCGAGAGUGACAGCUCGAGCAGGUGCGAAAGCAGGUCUUAGUGAUCCGGUGGUUCUGAAUGGAAGGGCCAUCGCUCAACGGAUAAAAGGUACUCCGGGGAUAACAGGCUGAUACCGCCCAAGAGUUCAUAUCGACGGCGGUGUUUGGCACCUCGAUGUCGGCUCAUCACAUCCUGGGGCUGAAGUAGGUCCCAAGGGUAUGGCUGUUCGCCAUUUAAAGUGGUACGCGAGCUGGGUUUAGAACGUCGUGAGACAGUUCGGUCCCUAUCUGCCGUGGGCGUUGGAAGAUUGAGAGGGGUUGCUCCUAGUACGAGAGGACCGGAGUGAACGCACCACUGGUGUACGGGUUGUGAUGCCAAUUGCAUUGCCCGGUAGCUAAGUGCGGAAGAGAUAACCGCUGAAAGCAUCUAAGCGGGAAACUUGCCUCGAGAUGAGUCUUCCCUGGACACUUGAUGUCCCUGAAGGGCCGUUGAAGACGACGACGUAGAUAGGCUGGGUGUGUAAGCGUAGCGAUACGUUGAGCUAACCAGUACUAAUGACCCGAGAGGCUUAACCUUACAACACCGAAGGUGUUU